GGUUUCCGUAGGUGAACCUGCGGAAGGAUCAUUAAUGUAACCGGACCGGCCUUUGCCGUAAAACGCAACGGAUCGGGAAGGGAGAUAUCAUAUACCCUGUAUUUAUUUACUUUUGUUGCUUUGGCGGGCCGUCCUUUUAGGCGUCGGCCCCGGCUGAUCGUGCCCGCCAGAGGACCCAAAUUCUUUAUCAGUGAUGUCUGAGUAUUAUAUAAUAGUUAAAACUUUCAACAACGGAUCUCUUGGUUCUGGCAUCGAUGAAGAACGCAGCGAAAUGCGAUAAGUAAUGUGAAUUGCAGAAUUCAGUGAAUCAUCGAAUCUUUGAACGCACAUUGCGCCCGCUGGUAUUCCGGCGGGCAUGCCUGUUCGAGCGUCAUUAUGACCAAUCAAGCUCUGCUUGGCCUUGGGGCCCGCUGUACCGGCGGCCCUUAAAAUCAGUGGCGGUGCCGUCUGGCUCUAAGCGUAGUAAUACUUCUCGCUACAGGGUCCAGCCGUCCACCCGCCAGAACCCCUAAUUUUCUUAGGUUGACCUCGGAUCAGGUAGGGAUACCCGCUGAACUUAAGCAUAUCAAUAAGCGGAGG
rnacentral:rRNA from 1 species